GAAAAAUAUUGCAAAUUUUCAAAGCAAAAGUCUUUUAGACUAAUUCGAUUGAGAAAAUUAUAUAUACACAAGUAAAAAGAGAGGCAUAGACAAUAAAAGUUGUAGGUAUGUAGUACCUAAACGGCUUAACGUAGAGAGGCAUAUAUUUUAUCUACGACCGUAACAUAAUUUAUGUGUAAGCGAUGGUGACAUCUCAUUAGCAUUGGUCUGAUUGGAGAUUGUGGUACGUUAAAGGUGUGGGGAGUAUCGAAUAUGUUAUUUAAUCCAUAAACUAACCGUUACGAGCUGCAUACUAUAUUUUAUCUACGGCCAUAACAUUUGGUGCCACCAAUUCGCCAUUUUUAUUCCAAUUCACCAUUUUUAUUCCAUUUCAGUAUUUUUAGUUAAAUUCGCUAUUUUUAUUUGAAUUUGUCCUGAUACAGAUAUUACGUUGAAGGAAUCUACCAUAAUUCGUUCUAAAUAUGAUCUCAAAUAAAAUCCCAUAGAUAAAACAAAUUGAAUUCAUCGAUAUGAAAAAGAACUUCGACUGAGUUGACAAAG
rnacentral:lncRNA from 1 species